rnacentral:rRNA from 1 species
CGGAAGGAUCAUUACUGAAGUGAUUUGGGGAUGUUGCUGGCCCUCAGGGGCAAUGUGCACUCUCUGAAACAAUUCACUAUUUCCAUCACACCCUUGUGCACAUCUUGUAGGCUCGUCCUCUCACCUCUCGGUGGGGCGUCCUAUGUAUUCCAUCAUCUCACACUUUUGAAUGGUGCUCUCGAAUGCAUCUUAUGGAUUAUUUGUAAAAGUAAUCACAGAAACAACUUUCAACAAUGGAUCUCUUGGCUCUCGCAUCGAUGAAGAACGCAGCGAAAUGCGAUACGUAAUGUGAAUUGCAGAAUUCCGUGAAUCAUCGAAUCUUUGAACGCACCUUGCGCCUCUUGGUAUUCCGAGGGGCAUGCCUGUUUGAGUGUCAUUGAAUCCUCAAAAGGAAACCUUCUCAGGAGGGGCUUCUCUUUUGGAAUUGGGGCGUGCUGGCCUCUGUACGAAGCCCAGCUCCCCUGAAAUACAUUAGCGAUGUGACAUCCACAUGCACACGCUUCUCCGGCAUUGAUAGCUUUUCAUGCUCGAGUCGCGCAGCAGCCGUGGAAAGGUUUGCUCGCUCACAAUUGAUGAUGGCGGGUUUUACUCACCAUCCUCUCUGACCAAAUAUAACCUCAAAUCAGGUAGGAUUACCCGCUGAACUUAAGCAUAUCAAA